GGCUCUGUGGCGCAAUGGAUAGCGCAUUGGACUUCUAGAUCGAUGACAGACGAAGUCAUUCAAAGGUUGUGGGUUCGAGUCCCACCAGAGUCG
rfam:Chelonia mydas contig170144, whole genome shotgun sequence.